rnacentral:tRNA from 1 species
AACAUAGAAGUAAAAAAAAAUUACAUUUAAUUUCGACUUAAAAAUAGGAUUAUUCCCAUGUUU